AACGUAGGAGGCGAGCGUUAUCCGGAUUUACUGGGUGUAAAGCGCAUGCAGGCGGUUCGUUAAGUUGGGUGUGAAAGCUCCUGGCUCAACUGGGAGAGGUCGCUCAAAACUAGCGGACUAGAGCGUGGUAGAGGAAGGCGGAAUUCCGGGUGUAGUGGUGAAAUGCGUAGAUAUCCGGAGGAACACCAGUGGCGAAAGCGGCCUUCUGGGCCACGACUGACGCUCAGAUGCGAAAGCUAGGGGAGCAAACGGG
rnacentral:rRNA from 1 species